ACCUGGGUGGCUCAACGGUUGAGCGCCUGCCUUCAGCUCAGGGCGUGGUGCCAGAGUCGUGGGAUCGAGUCCCACAUCAGGUU
rnacentral:tRNA from 1 species